AAUCCAUACAUUGGACAUUUUCGCAACAAAUCCUUAACUCUUUCUCAUGCCUCGUAUAAGCUUUCAUCUUCCAUCUACUUGAAUGAAGUAAGGUCAUUUCAGAUUUU